UCAGUUCGGUUCGGUUUAAACCGAAUGCCCACCCUGUGAGCAUCAACCUCGAUAAGCAUGUCAAUGAGGCCCAGCCUCGUGCUGCAUUCGACACGCAAAUCGAGGCUGAUACGCCAAAGUCUGCGAGCUUAACGCGCCCAAUCGAGUCUAUAAGAAUGUUACUUGCCUUGAUAUCUCUAUGCAAAUGGCCUUGGUUGUGAAGAUACGAC
rnacentral:misc_RNA from 1 species